GGGGAAUUUUGAAGUGUUUUAUGGUGUUUUAGAUUAGUUGUAAGGGUUUUAAGUGGUCUGUGCGUGUGUGUGGAGUGUCUUGGGAGUGUGUGGGUAUGAUUUUGGUGUGGUGGGUGUUUUAAGUGGCCUGUGCGUAUGUCUGGAGUGUCUUGGGAGUGUGUGGGGAUGAUUUUGGUGUGUGCUGUUUGUUUUAAGUGGUCUGUGCAUGUGUGUAGAGUGUCUUGGUAGUGUGUGGGGAUGAUAUUGGUUUAUGUUAGGUGUUUCUAAUUGAGUUAUGGGUUUAUUUGUUAAUAUUUUGAAGUGUUGCAUAGUGUUUUGGGUUAACGUACUCACUUACUUUUGUUAGUGUUGUAUAAUUUCAUGGUAUGAUGGACGCAGCUGAGGUGGGCCUCCGCUGUGGCCAGGCAGUUCAGCCUUGGCGUCAACCCUCUAUGUGAUGAGUGAGAUGCCGGUUGAGCUGGAGUGUCCUGGUAUUGGGGGCUCUUCUGGUAUUGUAGACAACCAUCUGUGUAACCUUUUCGUGAAGAGGUCCGGUGUGACCUGUCCGGUUCCUGAUGGUGUCCGGCACAGCGUUGAAGAGGUCCGCAGAAAACGACACGCCAAUUUAUUUGAAGUCAAGGACGGAGAUUAAAACGGCCUUGAAAAACACCACACCCGUUUCGUCCACCGCCAUCACCACCUCCUAGAUCAAGGACAAAGUGUAUUACAGACUCACACAUAAGGAAGAGGCCAUGAGGGAGGCGGUGGAGGUGUGGGGGGGUUCAGCACGCUAUCAGUUCAUGCCUGGGAUGGGACACACUGGGACAGCGUCGGACCGUUGGUGAGAGCAAGACAAGGCUGUGACAAUUCUGCAGAGGUUUGCCACUCAGACCUGUUGCCAUGUUACUAUUAUUGCACAUCCUAAGAAGGUGUGUGUAUGUGUGCAUAUGUGUGUUUACCUAGUUGUAUUUACCUAGUAGUAUUGUACAGGGUUUGAGCGGGCCUCAUAGCGUCCUGUCUCCAUG